CUAGAAACCUGAGACCAUUUGUUCUUCCUAUGCCCAUUUGCCCCGAUGUUUUGGUCAUAUCUCUGUCCAAAUUGGAUACCACUUCACCCGGAUAUACAGGCAAAUAUCUCCUUUUUAAAGAUGCGGCUGGGAUUGCCCUUUUCUCUGGAAAUUAUCAUCUUAGCCUCUUGGGCCAUCUGGAACACCAGAAAUGACUGGAUCUUCAAAGGAAUCACACCAAGUCUCUAUAGAUGCAGACGAAGAUUUAAACAUGAGCUCAAUUAGCUGGUCCACAAAGCUAAGAAGUUCUACUGCAAUUUGGAGAGUUGGGUGCAGGCUUUUACAUAA
rnacentral:rRNA from 1 species